UACAGAGGUCCCGAGCGUUGUUCGGAUUCACUGGGCGUAAAGGGUGCGUAGGUGGUGGGGCAAGUCUGAUGUGAAAUCUCUGAGCUCAACUCAGAAAUUGCAUUAGAAACUACCUUGCUAGAGGAUUGGAGGGGGGACUGGAAUUCUCGGUGUAGCAGUGAAAUGCGUAGAUAUCGAGAGGAACACCAGUGGCGAAGGCGAGUCCCUGGACAAUACCUGACACUGAGGCACGAAAGCUAGGGGAGCAAACAGG
rnacentral:rRNA from 1 species